GAAAGGAGAGGGGAAGCCAAGGAGCACUGAGCACCUAUUACUGUGCAUGCAAUGGUAGCAACAGGGAACAUAGAGCAGUAAUUAGAAGUAUUGAUUUUGGAGUCAGACUUCCUGCAUCCAGAUCCCAGCUUUGCCACUCACUAGGACACGCAUCCAGUUUAAGGAUUAUUACACCAGACUCUAAGAUGAGCUAACCACACCCAGAGAUGUGAGUAACUUACCUAAGGACACACAGCUGGCAGGUGAGGGUCCUCUUGCUGAUCCCUGCAGCCUCUUCUCCCUACCCGUAGCAGGAACCAC